AUGCGCUUUCGGGUAAUCGUUCCGGCCACUUCCGCAAGGCAGCAGCCGGAAAGGAAAGUCCGAACACCAGCGAACACCGUGCCGCAGGAAACUGCGGGAGAUAUCGGGCAAACCGGUAUCGCCAGAUAGUGCCACAGAAAACAAACCGCUCCGGCACGCCGGGGUAAGGGUGAAAAGGAGGGGUAAGAGCCCACCGCUUCGACGGUAACGGACGAAGGCAAGGUAAACCUCACGGGGUGCAAGUUCACGCAGGCUGUUUGCCGUUCGCCAAUAUACAGCCGGGUAGAACGCAUGCAUGCAGGAUGGUUGGGUUGAUGAGUUCGCUCACUGGCCGGCCCCCUGCAUCCAGAUCAAUGAUUACCACCCGUGGCCUAGCGCCGGGGGUACAGAAUUCGGCUUACAGAAAGCGCAUCUGU
rnacentral:RNase_P_RNA from 1 species